rnacentral:rRNA from 1 species
AGAGUUUGAUCCUGGCUCAGAUUGAACGCUGGCGGCAGGCCUAACACAUGCAAGUCGAGCGGUAGAGAGAAGCUUGCUUCUCUUGAGAGCGGCGGACGGGUGAGUAAUGCCUAGGAAUCUGCCUGGUAGUGGGGGAUAACGUUCGGAAACGGACGCUAAUACCGCAUACGUCCUACGGGAGAAAGCAGGGGACCUUCGGGCCUUGCGCUAUCAGAUGAGCCUAGGUCGGAUUAGCUAGUUGGUGAGGUAAUGGCUCACCAAGGCGACGAUCCGUAACUGGUCUGAGAGGAUGAUCAGUCACACUGGGACUGAGACACGGUCCAGACUCCUACGGGAGGCAGCAGUGGGGAAUAUUGGACAAUGGGCGAAAGCCUGAUCCAGCCAUGCCGCGUGUGUGAAGAAGGUCUUCGGAUUGUAAAGCACUUUAAGUUGGGAGGAAGGGUACUUACCUAAUAC